CUGAGCUGGAAACCAAUUCAAAAAUGUGAUGGUUCAGUUGGUCAUAGAAGCGAGUAGACUCCUCUUGACUCAUCUCUCGGAGUUCCAUGGUGACAUAGUGCUGGAGCUCCUUGGCGGCUUUGGCCCUGGUUUCCUCAUUCCGGCUCUUUAGGCCACUGGCAAACUGCUGCAGGACGCUCACAUUGCUAGAUGUGGUGGCAGCGGUGGUGGCGGCGGCAGGUCCGGUUCCAAGCAUCUUGCCCUGAGGUUCGCGCGGCUUCGGCCAAGGCCUCAGCUGCCGCCGCCAGCACCGGUACCGCCGCUUC
rnacentral:lncRNA from 1 species